AGUGAAUGCUGGCGGCGUGCUUAACACAUGCAAGUCGAACGAGCAAGUGCUGUAGUAAUACAGAUUACUGCUAGUGGCAGACGGGUGAGUAAUACAUGGGAAUCUGCCUUGAAGUCUGGGAUAACUGUUGGAAACGACAGCUAAUACCGGAUAUUGCCGAGAGGUGAAAGAUUUAUCGCUUCAAGAUGAGCCCAUGCAAGAUUAGCUAGUUGGUGAGGUAAUGGCUCACCAAGGCGAAGAUCUUUAGCUGGUCUAAGAGGAUGAUCAGCCACACUGGAACUGAGACACGGUCCAGACUCCUACGGGAGGCAGCAGUGGGGAAUAUUGGACAAUGGGCGAAAGACCUGAUCCAGCGACGCCGCGUGAGUGAAGAAGGCCUCGUGUAGUA
rnacentral:rRNA from 1 species